rnacentral:rRNA from 1 species
AGAGACCGGCGCACGGGUGCGUAACGCGUAUGCAAUCUACCUUUUACAGAGGGAUAGCCCAGAGAAAUUUGGAUUAAUACCUCAUAGUAUAGUGACUCGGCAUCGAGAUACUAUUAAAGUCACAACGGUAAAAGAUGAGCAUGCGUCCCAUUAGCUAGUUGGUAAGGUAACGGCUUACCAAGGCUACGAUGGGUAGGGGUCCUGAGAGGGAGAUCCCCCACACUGGUACUGAGACACGGACCAGACUCCUACGGGAGGCAGCAGUGAGGAAUAUUGGACAAUGGGCGCAAGCCUGAUCCAGCCAUGCCGCGUGCAGGAUGACGGUCCUAUGGAUUGUAAACUGCUUUUGUACGAGAAGAAACACUCCUACGUGUUGGAGCUUGACGGUAUCGUAAGAAUAAGGAUCGGCUAACUCCGUGCCAGCAGCCGCGGUAAUACGGAGGAUCCAAGCGUUAUCCGGAAUCAUUGGGUUUAAAGGGUCCGUAGGCGGUUUAGUAAGUCAGUGGUGAAAGCCCAUCGCUCAACGGUGGAACGGCCAUUGAUACUGCUAAACUUGAAUUAUUAGGAAGUAACUAGAAUAUGUAGUGUAGCGGUGAAAUGCUUAGAGAUUACAUGGAAUACCAAUUGCGAAGGCAGGUUACUACUAAUGGAUUGACGCUGAUGGACGAAAGCGUGGGUAGCGAACAGGAUUAGAUACCCUGGUAGUCCACGCCGUAAACGAUGGAUACUAGCUGUUGGGAGCAAUCUCAGUGGCUA